rnacentral:rRNA from 1 species
GUCUUAGCUUGCUAAGGCUGAUGGCGACCGGCGCACGGGUGAGUAACACGUAUCCAACCUGCCGUCUACUCUUGGCCAGCCUUCUGAAAGGAAGAUUAAUCCAGGAUGGGAUCAUGAGUUUACAUGUCCGCAUGAUUAAAGGUAUUUUCCGGUAGACGAUGGGGAUGCGUUCCAUUAGAUAGUAGGCGGGGUAACGGCCCACCUAGUCAACGAUGGAUAGGGGUUCUGAGAGGAAGGUCCCCCACAUUGGAACUGAGACACGGUCCAAACUCCUACGGGAGGCAGCAGUGAGGAAUAUUGGUCAAUGGGCGAUGGCCUGAACCAGCCAAGUAGCGUGAAGGAUGACGG